rnacentral:pre_miRNA from 1 species
CAACUACUCCCUCUGUCCCAAAUUUCUUGUCUUAGAUUUGUCUAGAUACAGAUGUAUCUAAUACUAAAAUGUGACUUGAUACAUCCAUAUCUAGACAAAUCUAAGACAAGAAUUUUGGGACGGAGGGAGUACUUU